CGCUGGCGGCAUGCCUAACACAUGCAAGUCGAACGAAGGCUUCGGCCUUAGUGGCGCACGGGUGAGUAUCGCGUGGGAACCUGCCCUUUGGUACGGAAUAACAGCGGGAAACUGCUGCUAAUACCGUAUACGUCCUCCGGGAGAAAGAUUUAUCGCCGAAGGAGGGGCCCGCGUCCGAUUAGGUAGUUGGUGGGGUAACGGCCUACCAAGCCAUCGAUCGGUAGCUGGUCUGAGAGGAUGAUCAGCCACACUGGGACUGAGACACGGCCCAGACUCCUACGGGAGGCAGCAGUGGGGAAUAUUGGACAAUGGGCGAAAGCCUGAUCCAGCAAUGCCGCGUGAGUGAUGAAGGCCUUAGGGUUGUAAAGCUCUUUCACCCACGACGAUGAUGACGGUAGUGGGAGAAGAAGCCCCGGCUAACUUCGUG
rnacentral:rRNA from 1 species